AAAUCAGUGGCGGUGCUCUCGGCUCUAAGCGUAGUAAUUNUCUCGCUAUAGUCCCCGGGAGAACACUUGCCAUAACCCCCACACUUUUAAGGUUGACCUCGGAUCAGGUAGGGAUACCCGCUGAACUUAAGCAUAUCAAUAAGCGGAGGAAAAGAAACCAACAGGGAUUACCUCAGUAACGGCGAGUGAAGCGGUAACAGCUCAAAUUUGAAAUCUGGGUCUUUUAGGCUCCGAGUUGUAAUUUGUAGAAGAUGCUUCGGGUGUGGCCCCGGUCUAAGUUCCUUGGAACAGGACGUCAUAGAGGGUGAGAAUCCCGUAUGUGACUGGGUGCUUUCGCUCAUGUGAAGCUCUUUCGACGAGUCGAGUUGUUUGGGAAUGCAGCUCAAAAUGGGUGGUAUAUUUCAUCUAAAGCUAAAUAUUGGCCAGAGACCGAUAGCGCACAAGUAGAGUGAUCGAAAGAUGAAAAGCACUUUGGAAAGAGAGUUAAACAGUACGUGAAAUUGUUGAAAGGGAAGCGCUUGCAAUCAGACUUGCACGCCGUUAAUCAUCCAGGGUUCUCUCUGGUGCACUUAGCGGCGUUCAGGCCAGCAUCGGUUUUAGGGGUGGGAUAAAGGCCUUGGGAAUGUAGCUUCUUUCGGGAAGUGUUAUAGCCCUCGGUGCAAUGCCGCCUCCUGGGACCGAGGACCGCGCUUCGGCUAGGAUGUUGGCGUAAUGGUUGUAAGCGACC
rnacentral:rRNA from 1 species